AAAAAUUUGGCGGUAUUUUAGUCUAUUCAGAGGAACCUGUUCUGUAAUCGAUAAUCCACGAUGGACCUUACUUAAAUUUGUAAUCAGUUUAUAUACCGUCGUUAUUAGAAUAUUUUAUAAGAAUGUUAAUUUUCAUAAUUUUAAAAAAGAAAGUAUAUCAGAUCAAGGUGUAGCUAAUAUUUAAGUAGAAAUGGGUUACAAUAAAAUUAUUUAUAUGGAAAUAAAUUUGAAAUGUUUAUUGAAGGUGGAUUUGAUAGUAAAAUUAUAAAGAUUAAUAAUUUGAUUUUAGCUCUAAAAUAUGCACACAUCGCCCGUCACUCUUACUACUAAGGUAAGAUAAGUCGUAACAUAGUAGAUGUACUGGAAAGUGUACCUAGAAUGCAAUUUAAAGCUUAUUUAGUAAAGUAUUUCAUUUACAUUGAAAAGAUUUUUGUGCAAAUCAAUAUAAAUUGAUUAUAUUUUAUUUAUUAAUUUAUAUUUUGUAUUAAUUAAAUUAUUAAAAAUAAUUAUAAAAUUUAUAUUUUUAGUAUUUAAUAAAGAAAAAAUAAUAUUAAUUAUAGUGUAAUAGUAUUGUGAAAGAAAAUGAAAUAAA
rnacentral:rRNA from 1 species